rnacentral:rRNA from 1 species
GUGGAUUAGAUACCCUAGUAGUCCACGCCUUAAACGAUGAAUACUAGACGUUGGGGUUAAACUCAGUGUCGCAGCUAACGCAUUAAGUAUUCCACCUGGGGAGUACGAUCGCAAGGUUGAAACUCAAAGGAAUUGACGGGGGCCCGCACAAGCAGUGGAGCAUGUGGUUCAAUUCGAUGCAACGCGAAGAACCUUACCUAGGCUUGACAUGAUAGCUAAAGCGAAUGAAAGUUCGUGUCCCGCAAGGGGAGCUAUUACAGAUGCUGCAUGGCCGUCGUCAGCU